rnacentral:rRNA from 1 species
CGUAAUAACAGAAACUAACCAGGAUUCCCUUAGUAACGGCGAGUGAACUGGGAUACCAAUAUAAAAUAUGCACUACGUGCAUAAUUUAGCCCGUCGAUACUAUCCUAGCAUAUUACCGGUCUCGGCCGGUAACUAAAUAUGCGGGAAUUGUAGCAUCGUAAUAUUUAUAUACGUAUAACCUACGUACACACACACAUACCAGCAACGCCUAUAAGUCGUACUGGCACCUUGUAAACACACAGCGUCUCCGCGUUGGAAAGCAAGUAUAUAUCCUCUUUGGAUAUGCCAUAGAGUGUGACAGCCACGUUUGAAUCACUCGCCCAUAGUACGCAUAACACACACACCCAAUGGCGCGCCGGCAGUGCAGUGCACGUAACCGUACUGUAUAUAUAUAACCUGAGUCGAGUUAUUU